AUCUGGAUAGCUCAGUUGUUAGAGCUGACAAUGCCAAGGCUGCAGGUUUGAUCCCUGUUUGGGACA